rnacentral:rRNA from 2 species
UUUGAACGAGUGGCGGACGGGUGAGUAACACGUGGGUAACCUGCCCUUAAGUGGGGGAUAACAUUUGGAAACAGAUGCUAAUACCGCAUAAAUCCAAGAACCGCAUGGUUCUUGGCUGAAAGAUGGCGUAAGCUAUCGCUUUUGGAUGGACCCGCGGCGUAUUAGCUAGUUGGUGAGGUAACGGCUCACCAAGGCAAUGAUACGUAGCCGAACUGAGAGGUUGAUCGGCCACAUUGGGACUGAGACACGGCCCAAACUCCUACGGGAGGCAGCAGUAGGGAAUCUUCCACAAUGGACGCAAGUCUGAUGGAGCAACGCCGCGUGAGUGAAGAAGGCUUUCGGGUCGUAAAACUCUGUUGUUGGAGAAGAAUGGUCGGCAGAGUAACUGUUGUCGGCGUGACGGUAUCCAACCAGAAAGCCACGGCUAACUACGUGCCAGCAGCCCGCGGUA